CGCCCGGAAUCGGAAGGGACGGGGGCGGAGCGGCCCGGGAGGCGCGGUGGGGCGCGCGCGGCGGCCCCGCGGGCUCUGCGCCUCCGGCGAGUCUGCGCCUGCGCGGCCGGGCGCCCGACCCUGACCCGCGGGACGCGCCCCGUGGGAGGCGACGGGAUGGCGUUUCUCCGGGAGCUGAAGGCCGCGGGGACCCGGCGAAGCGCGUUCGCUGCCGCCCGGGGGGGAUGAGCGUCGCUCCGCGGCGGCCGCUGCCUGCGUCCCGGGGCCGCGCCGUGUCGGGGUCCGUCCCGCGUGACCCCCGCCUGGGUGCAGGUCGCGGGGCGGCUCUUGCGGGGAUGCUGAUAGAGGAUCCCAUGGCCACUUGUCUCUCUCCCCCAGUCUACGAUAUGAUCUGUAAACUGGGGUUUGAAGUCAGAGAAACUUGGGACAUCGAUUGCAUUGUGACGCAGAGGGGGCACGUGUGCUGGCCGACCAUCACAGCCCGUGUGGCGUAUACACGAUCAGGUCUGUGUGCUCUCGGCUCCCCAAGCACAGCCCAGAGUCUGGAUUACCGGGGCAGCGUGCGGCUGUUGGGCCCUGUGUGUGAGGCCGUCCACUCACAUUUGUUAUCUCUGACCAAGGGACAAUUUGAGAUUCGAUACGUGCCGUGGCUGCAGUGGACAGCUUUUCCAGAGUUAUUUCCUGAAAUAUUUGCUGCUUUGGAAAGCCUCCACGGUCCCGCCAUCUCUCUCGGCUUAAUGAAACUGACGGCGUGUCUCGAACGGGCUUUGGGAGAUGUGCUCGUCCUGCUCGGGAAGGACUGCCCCUUCCUUCUGCGAGACCUGCUUGCAUCUGAGGAGCUUGCUGAGGUCUUCGGGCGGCCUGUGAUGGACGUGCUGAAGGUCUUCGUCGGAUCCCCGUCUGGACUCAACUUGCGGAACGUCCUGUGGCAUGGAUUUGCCUCCCCUCAUGAGAUCCCCCCAAAGUACUGUUCAAUGAUGGUGCUCUUGACGGCGGGGCUGGGCCAGCUGCUGAAGACGUACUUGGAGCAAACGAAACUUGUGCUGGCACACCGACCUUCCGUAGCUCUCGCAAACCUGGAGGAGGCGGCUGUUUUCCCCGACGUUACUCCCGCGGUACUUGGCCUGUUAGAAGACGUGAUGAGGAACUCGGCUUUCAUACGGAAGGUCAUGAUGCCGUACUGGGAAGCUGCGUUACUCGGCUUCCGGUCACACAGGUUUGCGGACUGUGCCAUGUUGCUACUGACGCAGCUGGAGGCGGGACUUAGGAGCGUUUUUGCCACCGUUAACCAGUGUCCGAGAAGACUUCUGACCGCUGAGUCCACGGCUCUUUACACCACCUUUGAUGAAAUAUUGGCAAAAGACUUGAACGACGGUAAAAUCAAUCAGCUUCCUCUUUUCCUUGGCGAGCCUGCGAUGGAGUUUCUUUGGGAUUUCUUGAACCAUCAGGAGGGCCCUCGUAUAAGAGACCGUUUAAGCCAUGGGGAAAUCAACUUAUCUGAAUUUCCAAAAGAAGUGGCAAAUCAGUUGCUUGCAUUUUCUGGGGUCCUUUUACUCAGAUUUGUUGAUGAAGAUCUGUCGGCAGCCUUCAAGGAAGAAGCGGCGAUCGGAUCCCUGGCUGCUCUCGCGGAUGGCUACAGCGCUCACUUCCACCCAGUUUCUCAGCUGAAAAAACAGGUGCUGAGCUGUGAGGAGAGCAUCCGAGUUUGGCCUCUCCCGCCUUUGCCUGAAGUGGCCUCCAGAUCAGUGGCUACUUCCGAAACUCAUGCCUGUGAGGCUUUCAUCACCGAAAUCCUGCCAGAGCUGCUCUGCCAUCUGCCCGAGCGCUCCGGCCUUGUCAGCGGCUGUGAUGGUCUCCCUGCUGGGAGGUGGCCUGAGGCAAUCCAGGAACUCUGCGGCACCCGCAUCCGGACUCUGUUCUGUCCCAGAACCGUCCUGGAAGUGGUCACUGUGCUCCGAAGCAUCAGUGCCUGCUGCGCCUGCGUGUCCCGCCAGGUCGCUGCCUCGGCGGAGCUGAGACACCAGCAGUGGGUGGAAAGGAGGCUGCGCUCACGGCAGAGGCAGACCUACCUGCACAUGGUCAGCAGGUUCGACGCCGCCGCCGGUUAUGUUACGUCCUUCCCGAAGUGGUGUAUUUCAAAACAAAAUCUCCACGGGUUCAUGAGCGAGAUAGUAUCUUACUUUGAUUGGAAUGUCUUUGUGUCCUGGACACACUGAACACGUUUCCACGUUUGAACCAUUUGUGUGUUUCUUCCUGUGAGAGCCCUUGACCAAUGUUAAGCUUCUGUCCCCUGUGCUUCACUUGAUUUUAUUGCUGAUUGCCCUGGAGCUGGUCAACAUUCACAUGGUUUGUGGAAAAAAUCCCUGUGAAUAUCAACAGUAUCUAAAGUUCUUGAAGUCCAUCUUG